CCUACGGGGGGCAGCAGUGGGGAAUAUUGGACAAUGGGCGAAAGCCUGAUCCAGCCAUGCCGCGUGUGUGAAGAAGGUCUUCGGAUUGUAAAGCACUUUAAGUUGGGAGGAAGGGCAGUAAGUUAAUACCUUGCUGUUUUGACGUUACCGACAGAAUAAGCACCGGCUAACUUCGUGCCAGCAGCCGCGGUAAUACGAAGGGUGCAAGCGUUAAUCGGAAUUACUGGGCGUAAAGCGCGCGUAGGUGGUUCAGCAAGUUGGAGGUGAAAUCCCCGGGCUC
rnacentral:rRNA from 1 species